rnacentral:piRNA from 1 species
UGGCAUGUCUAAUUCUCCCUGCACAGCC